ensembl:lncRNA
CAGAAAUCACAGAUUCUGGAGGUAAGACAGAGUCUGGGGAAAGGAAGACAUCCUAUUGGUCAAGGAGGAUCUGGCUAGACACUGUCUAGGCAAAAUCAAUGUACACAAAUCCAUGAGUCCUGAUGGAAUGCAUCCAUGCAUGCUGAGGGGGUUGGCAGAAAUACUUGCUAAGCCACUCUUUAUUAUCUUUGAGAAGUCUUGGAGAAUGGCAGUAGUACCUGAAAAAUGGUUGACAGCUAAAGUAACUCCAGUCUUCAAAAUGGGCAAGAAGGAGAAUCCAGGAUACUACAGGCUAGUCAGCCUCACCUCCAUCCUCGGGAAACUGAUGGAACAACUUAUGUUUGACAUCAUCUCCAACUAUCCUAGCAGAAGAAGAAAAGUGCAGGCUACUCCUGAGAUGCAGUGUCUCAGCCUUGCAUGGAGACCCCAGCUUCUCUGAUUUGGAUAAGCCUGCUACAGCUGCGUCAGAUGUGCCGUUAUUAUGGACAACCCAAGGAGAACUGAACAGCAUAUAUGUAUGGACUCUGCAAAAAAUUUGCACGCUCUUUUCCCUUUUUAUGUUUUCUUUCUGCCUGUAAUUGACUGAGAAUAUGCAACUCCAGCCCUGCUGCCAAUGGGGUUCAUGAAACAUUGUGACACUGCGGUGGUAACCAUCUCUGUAUUCCUAUAACAAAUCCUUGCUUUUAUUUUCUGUCUUUACACUAUCACUUUCUUCAUCUCACCUCCCAUCCCCAGGCCUAGCAAACCAAAAGUUUUCUAAUAAACUGGUUGAGCAAGUAUUUGACUCUUUUCCAAAUCUUAAUUUCUCAUUGGG